rnacentral:rRNA from 1 species
CAAAGGUUAAUUCCGGUGGCGGAUGGGCAUGCGUCGCAUUAGUUAGUUGGCGGUGUAACGGACCACCAAGACGACGAUGCGUAGGGGUUCUGAGAGGAAGGUCCCCCACACUGGUACUGAGACACGGACCAGACUCCUACGGGAGGCAGCAGUGAGGAAUAUUGGUCAAUGGGCGGGAGCCUGAACCAGCCAAGUCGCGUGAGGGAUGACGGCCCUAUGGGUUGUAAACCUCUUUUGCCGGGGAGCAAAGUGCCGCACGUGUGCGGUUUGGAGAGUACCCGGAGAAAAAGCAUCGGCUAACUCCGUGCCAGCAGCCGCGGUAAUACGGAGGAUGCGAGCGUUAUCCGGAUUUAUUGGGUUUAAAGGGUGCGUAGGCGGACGCUUAAGUCAGCGGUAAAAUUGCGGGGCUCAACCUCGUCGAGCCGUUGAAACUGGGUGCCUUGAGUGGGCGAGAAGUACGCGGAAUGCGUGGUGUAGCGGUGAAAUGCAUAGAUAUCACGCAGAACUCCGAUUGCGAAGGCAGCGUACCGGCGCCCAACUGACGCUGAAGCACGAAGGCGUGGGUAUCGAACAGGAUUAGAUACCCUGGUAGUCCACGCAGU